AGCAGCCGCGGUAAUUCCAGCUCCAAUAGCGUAUAUUAAAGUUGUUGCAGUUAAAAAGCUCGUAGUUGAAUUUCGGGGUCAGUAGAUUGGUCGUGCCACUGGUAUGUACUGGUCUUACUGGCUCCUCCUUCCUGAUGAACCGUAAUGCCAUUAAUUUGGUGUUGCGGGGAAUCAGGACUGUUACUUUAGAAAAAUUAGAGUGUUUAAAGCAGGCAAGCGCUUGAAUACAUUAGCAUGGAAUAAUGAAAUAGGACGUUCGAUCCUAUUUUGUUGGUUUCUAGGAUUGACGUAAUGAUUAAUAGGGAUAGUUGGGGGCAUUAGUAUUCAAUUGUCAGAGGUGAAAUUCUUGGAUUUAUUGAAGACUAACUACUGCGAAAGCAUUUGCCAAGGAUGUUUUCAUUAAUCAGGAACGAAAGUUAGGGGAUCGAAGACGAUCAGAUACCGUCGUAGUCUUAACCAUAAACUAUGCCGACUAGGG
rnacentral:sRNA from 1 species